AUUGAACGCUGGCGGCAGGCCUAACACAUGCAAGUCGAGCGGAGCGGCGGACGGGUGAGUAAUGCCUAGGAAUCUGCCUGGUAGUGGGGGAUAACGUCCGGAAACGGGCGCUAAUACCGCAUACUAUCAGAUGAGCCUAGGUCGGUUUAGCUAGUUGGUGGGUUAAAGGCCUACCAAGGCGAAGAACCGUAACUGGCAUGCGAGGAUGAUCAGUCAAACUGGAACUGCGACACGGUCCAGACUCCUACGGGAGGCAGCAGUGGGGAAUAUUGGACAAUGGUCGAAAGCCUGAUCCAGCCAUGCCGCGUGUGGUAAGAAGUUCGUCGGAUUGUAAAGCACUUUAAGUUGGGAGGCGUUACCAACAGAAUAAGCACCGGCUAACUUCGUGCCAGCAGCCGCGGUAAUAC
rnacentral:rRNA from 1 species